rnacentral:misc_RNA from 1 species
CAAGCUUCCUAGCCAUAUUCAAUCCUUCACUCUCUCGUUCUUUCUGUCUUCACUUUUGACUCACCAUAUAUUAUUAUAUCUCAUCAAGUUUAGAUCUAUUGAGUUUUGUCCCAUUAAGUUUUAGAUUUUUGUUGAAUAAUUUGCAAACUGAGCUUUGAUUUAUCAGUUUCAAUUAUCUUGGUUUGUCAUUGGUUCAUUAUCCUACCAGGAUUUUUAAGUUGUUGUUGGUUCAAGCUUAGAUUUGGGAUAAUUUUUGAAUAAUUGGAUAUUUUAAUGUUUAUGUAUUUG